rnacentral:rRNA from 1 species
AGAGUUUGAUCCUGGCUCAGAUUGAACGCUGGCGGCAUGCUUUACACAUGCAAGUCGAACGGUAACAGGGUGCUUGCACCGCUGACGAGUGGCGAACGGGUGAGUAAUGCAUCGGAAUGUACCGUGUAAUGGGGGAUAGCUCGGCGAAAGCCGGAUUAAUACCGCAUACGCCCUGAGGGGGAAAGUGGGGGACCGUAAGGCCUCACGUUAUACGAGCAGCCGAUGUCUGAUUAGCUAGUUGGUGGGGUAAAGGCUCACCAAGGCUUCGAUCAGUAGCGGGUCUGAGAGGAUGAUCCGCCACACUGGGACUGAGACACGGCCCAGACUCCUACGGGAGGCAGCAGUGGGGAAUUUUGGACAAUGGGCGCAAGCCUGAUCCAGCCAUGCCGCGUGUCUGAAGAAGGCCUUCGGGUUGUAAAGGACUUUUGUCCGGGAGCAAAUCCCAGUGGUUAAUACCUACUGGGGCUGAGAGUACCGGAAGAAUAAGCACCGGCUAACUACGUG